GUAGGGUGCGAGCGUUAAUCGGAAUUACUGGGCGUAAAGCGUGCGCAGGCGGUUUGGUAAGACAGAUGUGAAAUCCCCGGGCUUAACCUGGGAACUGCAUAUGUGACUGCCAAGCUAGAGUAUAGCAGAGGGGGGUAGAAUUCCACGUGUAGCAGUGAAAUGCGUAGAUAUGUGGAGGAAUACCGAUGGCGAAGGCAGCCCCCUGGGUUAAUACUGACGCUCAUGCACGAAAGCGUGGGGAGCAAACAGGAUUAGAUACCCUGGUAGUCCACGCCCUAAACGAUGUCAACUAGGUGUUGGGGAAGGAGACUUCUUUAGUACCGCAGCUAACGCGUGAAGUUGACCGCCUGGGGAGUACGGUCGCAAGAUUA
rnacentral:rRNA from 1 species